AGAGGGAAGAGAGAAAGAAGAAAGAAAGGAAGAAGGGAGAGAACGUAGAGAGAGAGGAGUAGAGAACAAUGAAGGUGGCUGGAAAAGUGCCCUUCAGCCAACAAAACUCUGAUGAUCAGAAAGAGUGGAGGAAGAUCAAGCAUAUGUGAGGGAGGCAAGCGGGGGGCAUUGUUAGAGGAUUUCAAUCUUUAGUGGCUUAAGGGUCAAGCUCCAAAAUGGCCCAAGUGGGUCGAAGGCCUGAGCGAUGCAGAUAUCGCUACACAGGAUUUUGCCUACCCAAGUGGGUCGAAAGCUCAAGUGAGACAGAUAUCGCUACACAUGAUUUUGUCGGCCCAAGUGGGUCGAAGGCCCGAGCGAGGUAGAUAUUGCUAGACAUGAUUUUGCCAACCCAAGUGAGUCAAAGGCCUCAACGAGGCAGAUAUCAUUAGACAUGAUUUUGUCGGCCCAAGUGGGUUGAAGGCUCGAGCGAGAUAUAUAUCGCUAGACAUGAUUUUGCGUGGGUUGAAGGCCUGAGCAAGGCAUAUAUCGCUAAACAUAAUUUUGCCAGCCCAAGUGGGUCGAAGGCCCGAGUAAAGCAGGUAUCGUUAGACAGGAUAUGAUUGUACCGACCCGAGCGAUGCAUGGUCUCGCUGGGUUGAAGGCUUGAGCGGUGACCGAUUCUGCCUAGUAGGAUGGAUAUAGUGGUUCAAACGGUGCGAUGUUAGAUCUUGUCAGGUUGGACAGAUUUAUGUCUAGGUACUAGUUGGAUAAGAGUUUUCACAUGUGAUUGAGAAAUGGUUUGGGUAUGUAUAUGUAUAUCAUGAAUUUAUAAAUGCAAGUGCUAUCUGUAUAUGAAAACGGUUUUCAGAA